rnacentral:piRNA from 1 species
UUCUGAAGAGCGUUUGAAAGCAG